rnacentral:rRNA from 1 species
UACGAGAGGCCCAAACGUUAUUCGGAAUUACUGGGCUUAAAGAGUUCGUAGGCGGCCCGUCAAGUCCCGUGUGAAAGCCCCCGGCUCAACCGGGGAACGGCGCGGGAAACUAGCAGGCUUGAGUUCGGGAGAGGGAAGCGGAAUUCCGGGUGUAGCGGUGAAAUGCGCAGAUAUCCGGAGGAACACCGGUGGCGAAGGCGGCUUCCUGGACCGACACUGACGCUGAGGCGCGAAAGCUAGGGGAGCAAACGGG